rnacentral:lncRNA from 1 species
GAAGAUCCGGCGCAGCUAAAGUCAGUGGAAGGUAGAAAGACGCCACAGCCGCCUUUCGACAACUUUUUGUUACAAAAGUGGAGAUCUACACGGAGGCGACGGCCUAGGUCGCUCUGACAGGACCCAACGACCCUCCUGACGCGUCCACCCGUCCUCGCUAGCAGGGUCCCCCAGCGGGCUCUCGACCUGCGCCACCAGAGUUCCACUCUUUUUGUCGACAAUAAUAUGGCGCCCAAACACGUGGGGCCUCAGAGAAGACUCUGGAUCCGGAAGGAGUAUCCCAAAACCAGAGCUAAGGUACCAGCUGGAGCCCACUGAAGCCUCACCGAGUUUGGGCUUCUCCUCCUGUGGAACUGGUAAGUCCUCCUGAGCCUCGGACCUCCUGUUUUGGUUGAUAGUCCUUGAUGUAUUCUGAGCUGUUUUAUUCUCCUAGGAAUUUGUUGCUUUAGGAUCCCAAUUCGAGUUCAAAGAUGCAUUUCUAAAGGGUCUCCUCAAUUGCUUUUCUCUCAGAAUUAAUCUCAAUUUGGCUUGUUUGUGCAUAUUUGAGUGAGGAACUGAACUGUCAUUUUCAUCCACGACUCAUCAGUUCCUCCUUUAAAAAAAAAAAAAAAAAAAAAAGUAGGGGCCGGGCGCGGUGGCUCACGCCUGUAAUCCCAGCUCUUUGGGAGGCCGAGGCUUGUGGAUCACGAGGUCAGGAGAUCGAGACCAUCCUGGCUAACACGGUGAAACCCCGUCUCUACUAAAAAUACAAAAAAUUAGCCGGGCGUCAUGGCGGGUGCCUGU